rfam:Gossypium raimondii scaffold_136_contig_8, whole genome shotgun sequence.
GGGUGCGAUCAUACCAGCACUAAUGCACCGGAUCCCAUCAGAACUCCGCAGUUAAGCGUGCUUGGGCGAGAGUAGUACUAGGAUGGGUGACCUCCUGGGAUGUCCUGGUGUUGCACCCC